AAAGGCUUUAGCUUAAUAAAAGUGUUUGAGUUGCAUUCAGAAGAUAUGGAAUAGUCGUCCAUAAGUUUUA
rnacentral:tRNA from 1 species